rnacentral:rRNA from 1 species
UUAUUGGGCCUAAAGCAUCCGUAGCCGGUUCUACAAGUCUUCCGUUAAAUCCACCUGCUUAACAGAUGGGCUGCGGAGGAUACUAUAGAGCUAGGAGGCGGGAGAGGCAAGCGGUACUUAGUGGGUAGGGGUAAAAUCCGUUGAUCCAUUGAAGACCACCAGUGGCGAAGGCGGCUUGCCAGAACGCACUCGACGGUGAGGGAUGAAAGCUGGGGGAGCAAACCGGAUUAGAUACCCGGGUAGUCCCAGCUGUAAACGAUGCAGACUCGGUGAUGAAUAGGCUUCGUGCCUAUUCAGUGCCGCAGGGAAGCCGUUAAGUCUGCCGCCUGGGGAGUUCGGUCGCAAGACUGAAACUUAAAGGAAUUGGCGGGGGAGCACCACAAGGGGUGAAGCCUGCGGUUCAAUUGGAGUCAACGCCGGAAAUCUUACCGGGGGCGACAGCA